AAGUCUGACACGGAGUUCUGCCUUCUUUCCUCUGCAGAGCCCAUUCUCUUGAAUUCCUCCUCUGGUGGAGUCAUGGCUGCAGCCUGGAAAAGAAUCAAAUGCUAAAGUCAAAAGCAGGUAAAAUACUAAACUCAGAUGCUUUUGAAGGACAGAUGAAUUAACAUGAUAAAUAAAUGAAAAUGUCCUAUGUUACUCAGUAAUGCAGUCAGCUGUAUGUAAGAUUACUCAAAAACCACAUUACACAGCAAAUGCAAGAAGCUUGAAACACGGCAUGAGCAGCCGGACUGGAGACGGAGACAGGAGGGAUGAUGACUGCCAGGCAAUCUGCUCUGAAGAGAGAGGGCCAUAUUCAGACAUCUGAUGAAAAAGGCCCACGGAGCUGUGCUGCUUUCUGCGUUUCUUCCAGCAACGACUCAAGUCUAUGUCUGGUAGCCCCAGCCCAGUAAGGAGCUGUUUUUCUCCAGAGAUAAUUUUUAUCUUCACUCUGGGAAACCUCAAAGGUAGAUAUCUUCACCAUUACAAGAACAGUUAUAUUUAUAAUUCAAGGAGAGUUGUGAAUACACUUUGCACUACAUAGGCUUUAGAGAUGGUAAAACUGAACUCCAUUCUAAUUUGAAAGUACCUGUAAGUAAACAUUUUUUUCUACAGCACAGCAUUGGCCAUUGCUAAUCAUGUCCCUGCCAGCUUCUAUAACAAUGGAUUUUGGACUCUUCUAAUUUUUAAAAUGUCGGUCCUAGAACACACUUAUCAUUUUAAUUCAACAUGUAGGAAAACAAAUGGAUUUUGAGGCUCAGAAGUCAUUGUUUCUUCAUUGUUCAAACCCAAUGCCCAGACUUACACUUGGGUGACAUCACUGUGAUCAGCCAUGUGUGGGAACUAAAACAGCCUCUUCCAGAGCAGAGGUCUGGAGAGAUCACGAUAGAGUCAGCAAUGGUUCUCACAUACCCUCUGAGCACUCACAAACAGCUUGUGAAUGAUCCUGCCAGCAUGUCCUCUUCCUGCACCGGUGACUAACACUUCAGGCUGCUCCAGCAGGCAACUCACAAACCUAGGACAGACAGACAGCCAAUGAAAGGGUGGAAAUGAGCUGUCCAGGCCACUUUGUGUCUAUCCAUCCUCCCACAGGAGUUUUGUGGACAAAUCCUCCCCCUCAUACUGGCUAGAUGCACCAAGGUUGAAGUGAAAUUUUAUAGCAAGAUAGACUGACAUUUGGAAUUAAUAUCCACUCAAUUGAAAAUCUUCCUGCUUUUUCACCUGUGUUCAUAAAAAUUUUUUCAGGCCUAUCUCUGUCAAAGUGUAAGAAAAAAUAUUCAGUCUAAUUUUUUUACACUAAAAGCUUAGAAAAUGCUACAGUUAAUAAAAUAUGAAAAGAAAUUUAGAUAACAUAAAGUUAUAUUUAUCCAAUAAAAGCAAUGAUCCAUA